rnacentral:rRNA from 1 species
AUUCCAGCUCCAAUAGCGUAUAUUAAUGUUGUUGCAGUUAAAAAGCUCGUAGUUGGAUUUCUGGUGGGAGCGGCCGGUCCGCCGUAAGGUGUGUACUAGGUUGUCUCCUGUCAUCCUUGUGGGAACUGCUCUGGCAUUAAGUUGUCGGGGUUAGGGAACACAUCGUUUACUGUGAAAAAAUUAGAGUGUUUAAAGCAGGCUUAUGCCGUUGAAUACAUUAGCAUGGAAUAAUAAGAUAGGACUUUGGCGUCUAUUUUGUUGGUUUGCACACCAAGGUAAUGAUUAAUAGGGAUAGUUGGGGGUAUUCGUAUUUAAUUGUCAGAGGUGAAAUUCUUGGAUUUAUGAAAGACGAACUUCUGCGAAAGCAUUUACCAAAGAUGUUUUCAUUA